ensembl:lncRNA
AGGCAGAUCAAACUUGAAAGAAGAUUGAAUUCAAGUACUAUUUUUGCUACGUGAACUGAGCACAUUGAGUCGCUCUUAUCAUCUUCAAAGAUUGCCUCCUACUUUAUGAAUAAUGAGUCCUUAAAGCAAUGUUGUCAAAAUAAACUGAACAAAAUUUACAUGCACUUGAAGGCUGAAUUCAACUAUUCUCACGCUAUUCAAGGAUUACUUGAAUUUCAGUUCAGAUUCAGAUGUCUCAGGACUGUCUUUGAUAAUAUCACAAGAACUUCAAACCCUACAGGGGAUCAGAUUCUGGAAGAUCUUUCCAAAAGAAGCUGUGGAGUCUACUGCAGAUACUCAAAAUCUUGAAGAGCUCCCUCUGCUUUAAACAGUGACAGUCCACAGUGAUACAAUGAAGACAGAGGAGUAAGAUUUAUCAACAGAGAGGAUCUCAGAAGAUUGGGAUUCACUUGAGGAAACACAUUUUGCUUCCAUCUAUAACAUGAGAGAUUUCCCACCUUACAUUUGCUCUCCAUUGUCCUUUGAGGUUGUGACUCACUGAAGCCGAUCUUUAAGUACAGGAUUUAUUCAGUGCAAGUGAUGGUAAGGCUGAUUUUCUAUUUCAAGUGAAGGAGAACAAGUCCUAAAUAAAUGUACUUUUUAGAUAUGUAAGUAAACAAAGGAUCGAAGUAAGCAACCCCCAACACUAGAAUUUAAC